AUCCAGCUGACUAGUCCCAAAUAGGACGAAACGCGCGUUCUGGAU
rnacentral:hammerhead_ribozyme from 1 species